rnacentral:rRNA from 1 species
UUCUUGGUCAUUUAGUGGAAGUAAAAGUCGUAACAAGGUCUCCGUUGGUGAACCAGCGGAGGGAUCAUUACCAGAGUGCCCUAGGCUCUCCAACCCAUUGUGAACUUACCAAACGUUCCCUCGGCGGGCUCAGCGCGCGGUGGCCUCCGGGCCUCCGGGCGUCCGCCGGGGAAAACCAAACCCUGAUUUAAUCGUAUUUCUCUGAGGGGCGAAAGCCCGAAAACAAAAUGAAUCAAAACUUUCAACAACGGAUCUCUUGGCUCUGGCAUCGAUGAAGAACGCAGCGAAAUGCGAUAAGUAAUGUGAAUUGCAGAAUUCAGUGAAUCAUCGAAUCUUUGAACGCACAUUGCGCCCGCCGGCACUCCGGCGGGCAUGCCUGUCCGAGCGUCAUUUCAACCCUCAGGCCCACCCUUCCGGGGGAGCGGGCCUGGUUCUGGGGAUCGGCGGCCCUCGCGGCCCCCGUCCCUCAAAUUCAGUGGCGGUCGCGCCGCAGCCUCCCCUGCGUAGUAGCACAACCUCGCACCGGAGAGCGGAACGACCACGCCGUAAAACACCCAAUUUUUUAAGGUUGACCUCGGAUCAGGUAGGAAUACCCGCUGAACUUAAGCAUAUCAAUAAGCGGAGGAAACUCAUCAAAUCUUUGAACGCACAUUGCGCCUGGUGGUAUUCCGCCAGGCAUGCCUGUUCGAGCGUCAUUAUAACCACUCAAGCCUGGCUUGGUGUUGGGGUUCGCGGUCCC